rnacentral:rRNA from 2 species
GCUACACCUAGAGAUAGGUGGUUCCCUUCGGGGACGCAGAGACAGGUGGUGCAUGGCUGUCGUCAGCUCGUGUCGUGAGAUGUUGGGUUAAGUCCCGCAACGAGCGCAACCCUUGUCUUUAGUUGCCAUCAUUAAGUUGGGCACUCUAAAGAGACUGCCGGUGACAAACCGGAGGAAGGUGGGGAUGACGUCAAGUCAUCAUGCCCCUUAUGACCUGGGCUACACACGUGCUACAAUGGGCAGUACAACGAGAAGCGAACCCGCGAGGGUAAGCGGAUCUCUUAAAGCUGUUCUCAGUUCGGACUGCAGGCUGCAACUCGCCUGCACGAAGCUGGAAUCGCUAGUAAUCGCGGAUCAGCACGCCGCGGUGAAUACGUUCCCGGGCCUUGUACACACCGCCCGUCACACCAUGGAAGUCUGCAAUGCCCAAAGUCGGUGGGAUAACCUUUAUAGGAGUCAGCCGCCUAAGGCAGGGCAGAUGACUGGGGUGAAGUCGUAACAAGGUAGCCGUAGGAGAACCUGCGGCUGGAUCACCUCCUUUCUAAGGAA